rnacentral:rRNA from 1 species
AUGUUCCCCAUGUUCCAGGAGCUUGCACCACACGACCCACACGACAAGUGUGGUCACCACUAUGCGAUCUGUCUUGACCUGAAGAACCAACGCUUUGAGGUGCUUGAUUCAAUUCGUUCGGUAGUUGAUGCAGACCUUACUACGCACGCUGAAUUCUUCAUCAACAACCUCAAAGAGACAUGGAACCGUCACUACGAAAACUCAAAGGUCCAGAUCAGACAUUUCCCGAUUGAGUACGUGGCGACCACGAAUCAAGGGAACACGACGGACUGUGGCUUUCACUCAUUGGAAUAUUUUGCAAAGUGGGAAGGUAGACUUGUUCCCGUCGUCACAGCUGCAACGGUCAUUGAGCUCCGGAAAAUUUACACAUGGAACUGGUUGACGAAUGAAGAUUUCAACAAGUGGUCCGGAGCACGCGAGUUCGUGGAGGAUGCUGUCAAGAAAGUCAUCAAGAAGUACAAGUGA